GACGUGGGGUGGCACAGACGUCGGGUGGCACAGACAUCGGGUGGCACAGACGUCGGGUGGCACAGACAUCGGGUGGCACGGGCAGAUCUCUAAAUACCUGUGGCCAGGGGCCCGCGGGGCAGCGAUGAGGAGCUCUGCGCUCUGAGGCACCACACGGAGCCACCACGGUCCCGGGAGACACAGCAGCGACCUCGAGCAGGGCCAUCCCAGAACCCGUAAGGAAAACCCCCGACCUGUUUGUGGUGAUCCCAGAAAGCUGAGCAGGGCACCAUGACCCA